GUGACGCGUGGCCUGCUGGACCAGGGCACUGAUGUCAUCAACAUCGGCAUGGUCAGUACGGACCAGUUCUACUUCGCCUGCGCCACGC
rnacentral:tRNA from 1 species